AGCUUUGCGCAGUGGCAGUAUCGUAGCCAAUGAGAUUUAUCCGAGGCGCGAUUAUUGCUAAGAGAUAAGUAAAUUAAAAAGCGGAAAAAUCACUUGCCUAUAGUGAACAUGGUCUCUUUAUUUAAAAAAGAAGUUACUAAAUUGAGAAAUCAA
rnacentral:snRNA from 1 species